rnacentral:rRNA from 1 species
AUGGAAUUUGAGAUGAAGGAUUUGGGUAAAACCAAAUUUUUCUUAGGUAUUCAACUUGAGCAUCUUCCCUCAGGAAUCAUGGUACACCAAUCUGCCUAUAUCCAGAAAAUAUUGGAGAAAUUCAAUAUGGACAAAUCCUAUCCAUCUAAAACUCCCAUGGUGGUUCGAUCUCUAGACAUAGAGAAAGAUCCGUUCAGACCAAGGGAUGACGGAGAAGAGGUGUUGGGACAUGAAGUUCCAUACCUUAGUGCUGUUGGAGCGCUUAUGUAUCUUGCAAAUUGCACAAGACCUGAUAUUGCAUUUGCAGUGAAUCUACUUGCUAGACAUAGCGCAGCUCCCACCAAACGUCAUUGGUCUGGAGUGAAGAAUAUCUUUCGAUAUCUCCAAGGCACAAAGGAUCUUGGCCUAUUUUUCAAGUUCCAGAAAAAUCAGGACUCUGAUAUGAUUGGAUAUGCAGAUGCCGGUUAUUUGUCUGAUCCCCAUAAUGCCAGAUCUCAGACCGGCUUCGUGUUCCUACAUGGUGGCACUGCUAUAUCAUGGAAGUCUUCGAAACAGACUCUGGUGGCAACAUCUACCAAUCAUUCUGAAAUAAUUUCAUUAUUUGAAGCAACAUGCGAAUGUGUAUGGCUUCGCAGAAUGAUAAACCACAUACGACAGUCAUGUGGAAUGGGUUCGAUAAAAUCACCUACCAUUAUCUAUGAAGAUAAUGCGGCCUGUGUUGCGCAGACGCAAACAUGA